GAUCCUCCCACCUCAGCCUCCCAAGUAACUAGAACUCAGAUGAUGGAAUGUUGAAUGACAGUCUGAGGAAUGACUGAAGUUGACAGCACUGCCUUUGGAAGCUAUUACUGCCAGAAAGGAGAAGUGAGAUUACAGGAGUUGAUAGAAAGGUCUGCUCUCUUGCCCUUCUGACUUCUCCCACGAG